AGAGUUUGAUCAUGGCUCAGGAUGAACGCUGGCGGUAUGCCUAACACAUGCAAGUCGAACGAUGUCUUCGGACAUAGUGGCGGACGGGUGAGUAACGCGUGAGAAUCUGCCUCUAGGAUGGGGAUAACGGUUGGAAACGACCGCUAACACCCAAUAUGCCGUAAGGUGAAAAAUUUAUUGCCUGGAGAGGAGCUCGCGUCUGAUUAGCUAGUUGGUGGGGUAAGAGCUCACCAAGGCUUCGAUCAGUAGCUGGUCUGAGAGGAUGAGCAGCCACACUGGGACUGAGACACGGCCCAGACUCCUACGGGAGGCAGCAGUGGGGAAUUUUCCGCAAUGGGCGAAAGCCUGACGGAGCAAUACCGCGUGAGGGAGGAAUGCCUUUGGGUUGUAAACCUCUUUUCUCAGGGAAGAAGAUCUGACGGUACCUGAGGAAUAAGUAUCGGCUAACUCCGUGCCAGCAGCCGCGGUAAUACGGAGGAUGCAAGCGUUAUCCGGAAUCAUUGGGCGUAAAGCGUCCGCAGGUGGUUUCCAAAGUCUGCUGUUAAAGACUGGAGCUCAACUCCGGAACGGCGGUGGAAACUUGGAAACUAGAGUUCGGUAGGGGUAGCAGGAAUUCCCAGUGUAGCGGUGAAAUGCGUAGAUAUUGGGAAGAACAUCGGUGGCGAAGGCGUGCUACUGGACCGUAACUGACACUCAGGGACGAAAGCUAGGGGAGCGAAAGGGAUUAGAUACCCCUGUAGUCCUAGCUGUAAACGAUGGAAACUAGGUGUGGCUUGUAUCGACCCGAGCCGUGCCGUAGCUAACGCGUUAAGUUUCCCGCCUGGGGAGUACGCACGCAAGUGUGAAACUCNAAGGAAUUGACGGGGGCCCGCACAAGCGG
rnacentral:rRNA from 1 species